rnacentral:rRNA from 1 species
UCCAGUUGAUCCUGCUGGCGGAUGCGGCUAUCUGGUUUGCCAUUAGACAUGCAAGUUUUUUGGUUUCUUCUGAAAUUAAGGAGCAAACUGCUCAGUAACACGUAGUUAACUUGCCCUAUGGUCUGGAACAAUCUCGGGAAACUGAGUCUAAUAUCAGAUAGGUGAAAUUUUCUGGAAUGAUUUUUCGCCCAACAUAGGAUAGGACUGCGGCUGAUUAGGUUGUUGGCGGGGUAAAUGCCCACCAAGCCGAUUAUCAGUAAGGGCUCUUAGCGGAGAAGCCCUGAGAGGGGAUCUUAGACACUAUCCCCAGCCUUACGGGGUGCAGCAGUUAGGAAAAUUCUACAAUGCGCGCAAGCGUGAUAGAGCAAGCCAGAGUGCGUUUCUAUAAUUGAAACGCUUUUGUACGAUGUAAAAAGUCGUUCGAAUAAGGACUGGGAAAGACUGGUGCCAGCCGCCGCGGUAAUACCAGCAGUCCAAGUCGCAUCCAUUUUUAUUGGGUCUAAAACAUCCGUAGCUUGUUUUGUAAGUUUCAUGUAAAAUCUAGUAUCUUAAGUAUUGGGCUGCAUGAAAUACUGCAAAGCUAGAGACCGGGAGACGUAAAGAGUACAGUUCGGGUAGCGGUUAAAUGCGUUGAUCCUUACUGGACUAACAAUAGCGAAGGCACUUUACGAGAACGGUUCUGACAGUGAGGGAUGAAGGCUAGGGUCGCAAAACGGAUUAGAUACCCGUGUAGUCCUAGCAGUAAACACUGCACACUAAACAUUGGUACCUCUUCGAGAGGUGUCAGUGCUGUAGGGAAGCCGAAGAGUGUGCUACCUGGGAAGUAUAGUCGCAAGGCCGAAACUUAAAGGAAUAGGCGGGGGGAUACUACAACCAGUGACGCGUGCGGUUCAAUUAGAUUCCACACCGUGAACCUCACCAGGAUCGACAGCAGAAUGAAGGUCAGUCUGAAGGGCUUACCUGACACGCUGAGAGGAGAUGCAUGGCCGACGUCAGCCUGUGUCGUGAGAUGACCUGUUAAAUCAGGUAACAGGCGAGACCCGUGUGUAUAUUUACAUCGUACAAUAUAUAGACUGCCUUGGUAACAAGGAGGAAGGUGCGGGCUACGUUAGGUGAGUACGUCCCGAAUACCCUGGGCAACACGCGCGCGGCAAUGCUGAAUUCAAAGGGCUGCGACACCGAAAGGUGAAGCUAAUCUCAUAAACUUCAGCCUAGUUCAGAUCGAGGUUUGCAACUCAGCCUCGUGACGCUGGAAUUGGUAGUAAUCGGAUUUUAUCAGAUUCCGGUGAAUAAGUCAAUGUCCCUUGCACUAAUCGCCCGUCAAACCAACCGAGUUAUGCGCUGACGAGGCUCGUCAGAGACGAAUCUUUGUAUGACAAGGUAGGUU